rnacentral:rRNA from 1 species
GUCAAAAAUGACUCUCGGCAACGGAUAUCUCGGCUCUUGCAUCGAUGAAGAACGUAGCGAAAUGCGAUACUUGGUGUGAAUUGCAGAAUCCCGUGAACCAUCGAGUCUUUGAACGCAAGUUGCGCCCGAAGCCAUUAGGCUAAGGGCACGCCUGCCUGGGUGUCACCAA